GACGAACGCUGGCGGCGUGCUUAACACAUGCAAGUCGAACGGAAAGGCCCUGCUUUUGUGGGGUGCUCGAGUGGCGAACGGGUGAGUAACACGUGAGUAACCUGCCCUUGACUUUGUGAUAUCUUCAGGAAACUGGGGCUAAUACCGGAUAGGAUCUCCUGCUGCAUGUUGUGGGUUGGAAAGUUUCGGCGGUUGGGGAUGGACUCGCGGCUUAUCAGCUUGUUGGUUGGGUAGUGGCUUACCAAGGCUUUGACGGGUAGCCGGCCUGAGAGGGUGACAGGCAAAAUUGGGACUGAGAUACGGCCCAGACGCGAACGGGAGGCAGCAGUGGGGAAUAGUGCACAAUGGGAGGAAGCCUGAUGAAGCAACGGCGCGUGCGGGAUGACGGCCUUCGGGUUGUAAACAGAUUUGGCCUGUGACGAAGCGUGAGUGACGGUAAUGGGUAAAGAAGCACCGGCUAACUACGUG
rnacentral:rRNA from 1 species